AAGACUAUAUUUUCAGGGACCAUUUCUAUAGUAUGUGACUAGAGAAGUUUCUCUGAUCAUGUAGAGUACCCGAAGCCAUGAGGAGGAGCCAGAGAGUCCUCUCCUGAGCAUGAAGCUGGCUCUAGGCAUUGCUUCUGUGACUGUCUUUGGCCAUUGAUGAUCAGUUUCCUUAAAAAAAAUAAUAAUAAUUUUGGGGGCUGGGUGGUGGCACAAGUGGU